AAAUUGAAGAGUUUGAUCAUGGCUCAGAUUGAACGCUGGCGGCAGGCCUAACACAUGCAAGUCGAACGGUAACAGGAAGCAGCUUGCUGCUUCGCUGACGAGUGGCGGACGGGUGAGUAAUGUCUGGGAAACUGCCUGAUGGAGGGGGAUAACUACUGGAAACGGUAGCUAAUACCGCAUAACGUCGCAAGACCAAAGAGGGGGACCUUCGGGCCUCUUGCCAUCGGAUGUGCCCAGAUGGGAUUAGCUUGUUGGUGGGGUAACGGCUCACCAAGGCGACGAUCCCUAGCUGGUCUGAGAGGAUGACCAGCCACACUGGAACUGAGACACGGUCCAGACUCCUACGGGAGGCAGCAGUGGGGAAUAUUGCACAAUGGGCGCAAGCCUGAUGCAGCCAUGCCGCGUGUAUGAAGAAGGCCUUCGGGUUGUAAAGUACUUUCAGCGGGGAGGAAGGGAGUAAAGUUAAUACCUUUGCUCAUUGACGUUACCCGCAGAAGAAGCACCGGCUAACUCCGUGCCAGCAGCCGCGGUAAUACGGAGGGUGCAAGCGUUAAUCGGAAUUACUGGGCGUAAAGCGCACGCAGGCGGUUUGUUAAGUCAGAUGUGAAAUCCCCGGGCUCAACCUGGGAACUGCAUCUGAUACUGGCAAGCUUGAGUCUCGUAGAGGGGGGUAGAAUUCCAGGUGUAGCGGUGAAAUGCGUAGAGAUCUGGAGGAAUACCGGUGGCGAAGGCGGCCCCCUGGACGAAGACUGACGCUCAGGUGCGAAAGCGUGGGGAGCAAACAGGAUUAGAUACCCUGGUAGUCCACGCCGUAAACGAUGUCGACUUGGAGGUUGUGCCCUUGAGGCGUGGCUUCCGGAGCUAACGCGUUAAGUCGACCGCCUGGGGAGUACGGCCGCAAGGUUAAAACUCAAAUGAAUUGACGGGGGCCCGCACAAGCGGUGGAGCAUGUGGUUUAAUUCGAUGCAACGCGAAGAACCUUACCUGGUCUUGACAUCCACGGAAGUUUUCAGAGAUGAGAAUGUGCCUUCGGGAACCGUGAGACAGGUGCUGCAUGGCUGUCGUCAGCUCGUGUUGUGAAAUGUUGGGUUAAGUCCCGCAACGAGCGCAACCCUUAUCCUUUGUUGCCAGCGGUCCGGCCGGGAACUCAAAGGAGACUGCCAGUGAUAAACUGGAGGAAGGUGGGGAUGACGUCAAGUCAUCAUGGCCCUUACGACCAGGGCUACACACGUGCUACAAUGGCGCAUACAAAGAGAAGCGACCUCGCGAGAGCAAGCGGACCUCAUAAAGUGCGUCGUAGUCCGGAUUGGAGUCUGCAACUCGACUCCAUGAAGUCGGAAUCGCUAGUAAUCGUGGAUCAGAAUGCCACGGUGAAUACGUUCCCGGGCCUUGUACACACCGCCCGUCACACCAUGGGAGUGGGUUGCAAAAGAAGUAGGUAGCUUAACCUUCGGGAGGGCGCUUACCACUUUGUGAUUCAUGACUGGGGUGAAGUCGUAACAAGGUAACCGUAGGGGAACCUGCGGUUGGA
rnacentral:rRNA from 1 species